rnacentral:rRNA from 1 species
CAAGUCGAGCGAACAGACGAGGAGCUUGCUCCUCUGACGUUAGCGGCGGACGGGUGAGUAACACGUGGAUAACCUACCUAUAAGACUGGGAUAACUUCGGGAAACCGGAGCUAAUACCGGAUAAUAUAUUGAACCGCAUGGUUCAAUAGUGAAAGACGGUUUUGCUGUCACUUAUAGAUGGAUCCGCGCCGCAUUAGCUAGUUGGUAAGGUAACGGCUUACCAAGGCAACGAUGCGUAGCCGACCUGAGAGGGUGAUCGGCCACACUGGAACUGAGACACGGUCCAGACUCCUACGGGAGGCAGCAGUAGGGAAUCUUCCGCAAUGGGCGAAAGCCUGACGGAGCAACGCCGCGUGAGUGAUGAAGGUCUUCGGAUCGUAAAGCUCUGUUAUUAGGGAAGAACAAAUGUGUAAGUAACUAUGCACGUCUUGACGGUACCUAAUCAGAAAGCCACGGCUAACUACGUGCCAGCAGCCGCGGUAAUACGUAGGUGGCAAGCGUUAUCCGGAAUUAUUGGGCGUAAAGCGCGCGUAGGCGGUUUUUUAAGUCUGAUGUGAAAGCCCACGGCUCAACCGUGGAGGGUCAUUGGAAACUGGAAAACUUGAGUGCAGAAGAGGAAAGUGGAAUUCCAUGUGUAGCGGUGAAAUGCGCAGAGAUAUGGAGGAACACCAGUGGCGAAGGCGACUUUCUGGUCUGUAACUGACGCUGAUGUGCGAA